rnacentral:rRNA from 1 species
CCUACGGGAGGCAGCAGUGAGGAAUAUUGGUCAAUGGGCGAGAGCCUGAACCAGCCAAGUCGCGUGAGGGAGUACUGCCCUAUGGGUUGUAAACCUCUUUUGUCGGGGAGCAAAAGCCGGACGUGUCCGGCUGUGAGAGUACCCGAAGAAAAAGCAUCGGCUAACUCCGUGCCAGCAGCCGCGGUAAUACGGGGGAUGCGAGCGUUAUCCGGAUUUAUUGGGGUUAAAGGGUGCGGAGGCGGAUUUUUAAGUCAGCGGUCAAAUCGUGGGGCUCAACCCCAUCUAGCCGUUGAAACUGGGGAUCUAGAGUGUGCGAGAGGUAUGCGGAAUGCGUGGUGUAGCGGUGAAAUGCAUAGAUAUCACGCAGAACCCCGAUUGCGAAGGCAGCAUACCGGUGCACAACUGACGCUCAGGCACGAAAGCGUGGGUAUCGAACAGGAUUAGAUACCCGAGUAGUC